ensembl:lincRNA
AGACGCCGCCUGCCUUCUGCCACCGCAGGCUCCCGUGACCAUCCGAGUGGGAAAGCCUCAGCCUGAAGCACCAGGUGGAGCCGUCCUCAGUCCUGGUUCUCAAAAACUCUGUACGGCAACUGAAUGUGUGCUUUUUAGUUACUGCUUUAUCUACGAGGACUUUGUUAAAAGCCUCAGGAACUGUUGUGAAGACACUGCGCUCACCCUUCCACGUGGGGGCGCUGUCGUACAGCAGCACAGCCUAUGAAUCCCUCCUCUUAUGGCAAAGACAGAACACUUCCAUCCGGACCCUUCAAGCUGGGACUCAGACCCACACAUCAUCAAGUUGUCACUGGACACUUGAGUUAAGUACUUUUACCUUCUUAAAUAUACAAUUCAAUUUUCAUGAAUAGUGAGAUUUGUCAUAAUAUCCCAUUCAUAUCCCGUUGAGCAGAUUGAGUACCUCGCAUGACAUGUUAAUUGCUUCGAUUUUUGACAGCUAAAAAAAAAUCACACAGUGGCAUAUGCUUUCAAAGGAGUACUUGCGAUUCAAAAAUAUCCAAUUUAUAUUCUUUUUUAUUAGCAUUGUAUAAAAAUAUCACAAGCAAGCCUUCCCCUUAACUUUCUCAAUUGUGAUCAACAAAGGUUAACGUUAGGGGAAAAAAAUGAGGUUUCCACACAUAGCAGUUUCCUGCUGGUGAAGAAGGAGUGACUCUCAAUUAUCCCCUCUGUUGUGGUGAGAACUGGAAGGUUAUGAAUGAAUUCCUUGUGCUCCUGUUAGUCAAGGAUUACUUAAAUAUUUCAUUUUGGAGAAAAAAAAAAAGUUCUCACCAAGAAUAAUUGAAGCUUGAGUUCCAGAAGGUACUCCAUCAAUAACUGUAAAAAUAUAAUGUAAUCAGAACAAAUGGCAGCUCCCAGGUCAACCAUCCAAUAGUGCUGAUUUUAUUUAUUUUUUUAUUCUGUAAUUUUUAUUGACACAAAGGAUAAAAAUCAGUAGGUAUCUCUGACACAGGGCUUCUCGCUGGAAGAAACCACACCACCCAGCGUGCAGUGAGAAUAGAAUGCUGGACCUCUCACCUACCAGGCAACCCUGGUUGGUUCUCUGGCUGCUCUCUGGGCGGGGCCCCUCUCAACCCAGACAGAAACCAGUUGGUUUCUGGUUGGGAGGCUCCCAGUAGCUGGGGGGAGGGAGAGUGGGCAGAAAACUCAGGACAGGAACACCCAACUGUUCUGAGUGCUUUGGGCUUUGGUUCAGGUCUCAGUGAGACAAGGAAGGGGUCCCAGUGAGGUUACCCAAAUGCUGUGUAGCUUGCCACACAGGCCUCCAGCUUCCUGCUCUCUUGCAGUAGGAGCACAGAUCAGGUUGCUGUGCACAGCCCUGAGGAGUACCAUCAACUUCACACCCGUUUUGAGGUGUUCCUUUCCUCGCCCCCAUCCACAGGCCCCUCCCUGGGGCCCUGCACACGGUGUCCUUCCUCUUUCUGGAGUGUAUAUGUGUGUCCCAGUCCCUAGACAGGACCCAGUUGGUGAUGUGAUGCCUCUCGCUGAGUGGUCAUCAGCAGGGAAUGAAGGAAAGCUGAAAGGGUCUGAUUGAAACAAAUAUACUGCAAGCGGGGGGAAAAAAGGUGACAGAUUUACGUUUUCAUGUCUUUUAAUUAAAAAAAAAUCUGAGGCAGUUUAUCAGUCACUUGUCCCGUUGCUGAGAUAAAAUUCCUCCCACAAAACCAACUUAAACUGCUAUCUGUCCAAUGCCAGCAUCAGCCUGUCACCCAGUCACACUGCCUUGCUACUGAACAUUGUUCUAUGGUUAAAUUAUACAUAUACAUGUAUAUAAUUUUAAAGCAACUUAAGAGACUUUGGCUCACAAUUGAGGGUGGGAUGUGACAGUGGCGGGAAUGCGAGGCCCUGGUCACAAGGCGCCCACACUCGGGAACAGUGGUAGAUGAACACUGAUGCUCAGCCCAGUUCCUCCUCUUCAUUCACCCAUGGGACUUGGUCUCCCAGUUAGGCUGGGUCUUUCUACUUCAAUUAAUCUAAUCUAGACAACCCCUCGCAGGCACACCCAGGGGCUGUCUCCUGUUUGCCAUUUCUCGAGCCCUUUCUAUUUUAAAUAAAACCUUAACUCUGCUUCUCACGGACUAGCCCUGAAAUCCUUUUGUGUUUCAAAAACCGCAGACCUCAUUUCGCAGCACAGUUCCUAACAGAACCAGGGAAGUCUUCAGGCCGCUGAAGAUGAUAGCGAGUCCUUGUAGCAGCCAACGGGGUGACUCUCAGAAGCCACCAAAUCUCCUCGUGUCCAACACAAUCACAAAGCCCGUGAGGAUGGCCACCAGCAAAGUGGUGUCGACAUGCAAAACAUCAGAACCCUUAAUGAAAAUUUAAAGAUGUGAGUUAUGGGAAUAAACUGGUUACUCACACUCGAAAGGACCCUGGUUCAAUUCCCAGAACCCACAUGGCAGCUCAUGACUGUAUGUAACUCCAGUUCCAGGGGAUCCCACACAGACACACAUGUAAACUAAACCCCAAUGCACAUAAAAUUAAAAGUUAAUCAAAGGAUAAAAAAUUAAAAAAAAAUUGAUGUGUGUUUGUGUGCACAUGUGCUAAAAGAGGAAAUCAGAUUCCCUGGAGCUGGCAUUACAGGCUGUGAGCUGCCUGAUGUGGGUGCUGAGAAUUAAACUCUGACCCUCUGCAAAGGCGUCAGGUGCUCUCAGUCACUGAGCCAUCUCUCCGGCCCUGUGGAGACAUGUGUAUUUCAUUUUCUGUGAACUUCCUACACAGUCUGCCCAUUUCUCUUCUUAAUAUGGAAGUUCUUAUAUAAGCAUAUAUAAGAGUAUAUUCUAUAUAAGAUUGAAAGGUCCUUCCUCCUAAAUACAAAUGUCAAUCUUUACUCAGCUCCUGCCUUGAGUCUCCUUAUGCCUUUUGUUUGAGCAUUUGUUGUUUGUUUCUUCUGUGUGCAGAUCCAUUUCUUUCUAUCUAGCCCAUCUUACCAGUUUACUGAUACCUCCUCCUACUGGUUCACUUAGAAAGGCGUGUGUGUGUGUGUGUGUGUGUGUGUGUGUGUGUGUGUAUGUGUGUGCAUGUGUGUGAGCUUAUGAGUGAAUGUGUGUUUGCAUGCAUAUAUAUGCGUGCAUGUGUGCAUAUGUGUGUGGAUGUGUGUGCACGUGUAUGAGUGAGUUUAUGAGUGCAUUUACAUGUGUGAGUGUGUAGGUGUGUUCAAGAGUGCGGCCAUUUAAAAAUGUUUUCUUGAUGCCAUCCCAAGAUUUUCAAACAUGUAAUUUUAAGUCACAUCUAAGUCAUGUUGGGAAGAGUUCAGCUCAGCAGAAUUAGUUGGGGAUGAUAGAGGAUGUUCAGAGUAGCAAACCAGGAAAGAACCGGUACACAGAAUGCUUUCCCUUUGAGCAUAGUUUUAAAGGCACUGUUCCAAGAUGGACAGAGAUUGUGCAUGCCUUUAAUACUAGCACUCGGAAGACAGAGGCAGGCAGAUCUCUAAGUUCAAGGCCAGCCUAGUCUACAAAGUGAGUUCCACAACAACCAAGGCUAUACAGAGAAAUCCUGUCUC